AUUGAACGCUGGCGGCAGGCCUAACACAUGCAAGUCGAGCGGAUGAAGAGGGCUUGCUCUCUGAUUUAGCGGCGGACGGGUGAGUAAUGCCUAGGAAUCUGCCUGGUAGUGGGGGAUAACGUUCCGAAAGGAACGCUAAUACCGCAUACGUCCUACGGGAGAAAGCAGGGGACCUUCGGGCCUUGCGCUAUCAGAUGAGCCUAGGUCGGAUUAGCUAGUUGGUGAGGUAAUGGCUCACCAAGGCUACGAUCCGUAACUGGUCUGAGAGGAUGAUCAGUAACACUGGAACUGAGACACGGUCCAGACUCCUACGGGAGGAAGCAGUGGGGAAUAUUGGACAAUGGGCGAAAGCCUGAUCCAGCCAUGCCGCGUGUGUGAAGAAGGUCUUCGGAUUGUAAAGCACUUUAAGUUGGGAGGAAGGGUACUUACCUAAUACGUGAGUAUUUUGACGUUACCGACAGAAUAAGCACCGGCUAACUCUGUGCCAGCCGCCGCCGUAAAAC
rnacentral:rRNA from 1 species